rnacentral:rRNA from 1 species
UUCGCAAUGCCCGAAAGGGUGACGAAGCGACGCCGCGUGUGGGAAGAAGGCCUUCGGGUUGUAAACCACUGUCGGGAGUUAGGAAAUGUAAGGGUGCUAAUAGUAUCCUUACUUGACUAAGGCUCCGGAGGAAGCCACGGCUAACUCUGUGCCAGCAGCCGCGGUAAUACAGAGGCGGCAAGCGUUGUUCGGAAUUAUUGGGCGUAAAGAGCACGUAGGCGGCCUUGUAAGUCAGUUGUGAAAGCCUUCUGCUUAACGGAAGAACAGCAGCUGAUACUGCAAGGCUAGAGUGCGGAAGGGAAGAGUGGAACUUCUGGUGGAGCGGCGAAAUGCGUAGAUAUCAGAAGGAACACCGGCGGCGAAGGCGACUCUCUGGUCCGUAACUGACGCUGAGUGUGCGAAAGCUAGGGGAGCAAACGGGAUUAGAUACCCCGGUAGUCCUAGCCGUAAACGAUGGGCACUAAGUAGAGGGGUUUU